rnacentral:rRNA from 1 species
CCUACGGGAUGCAGCAGUAGGGAAUUUUCGUCAAUGGGCGCAAGCCUGAACGAGCAAUGCCGCGUGAACGAGGAAGGUCUUCGGAUCGUAAAGUUCUGUUGAAGGGGAAAAAGAGCGGAGAGAGGAAAUGGUCUCCGAUUGAUAUUACCCUUCGAGGAAGUCACGGCUAACUACGUGCCAGCAGCCGCGGUAAUACGUAGGUGGCGAGCGUUAUCCGGAAUGAUUGGGCGUAAAGGGUGCGUAGGCGGCCUGCUAAGUCUGGAGUGAAAGGUACCGGCUCAACCGGUACAGGCUCUGGAAACUGGCGGGCUAGAGAGCAGGAGAGGGCGGUGGAACUCCAUGUGUAGCGGUAAAAUGCGUAGAUAUAUGGAAGAACACCAGUGGCGAAGGCGGCCGCCUGGCCUGUUACUGACGCUGAGGCACGAAAGCGUGGGGAGCAAAUAUGAUUAGAUACCCCGGUAGUC